AACGAACGCUGGCGGCAGGCUUAACACAUGCAAGUCGAGCGCCCCGCAAGGGGAGCGGCAGACGGGUGAGUAACGCGUGGGAAUCUACCCAUCUCUACGGAAUAACGCAUGGAAACGUGUGCUAAUACCGUAUACGUCCUUCGGGAGAAAGAUUUAUCGGAGAUGGAUGAGCCCGCGUUGGAUUAGCUAGUUGGUGGGGUAAAGGCCUACCAAGGCGACGAUCCAUAGCUGGUCUGAGAGGAUGAUCAGCCACACUGGGACUGAGACACGGCCAAGACGCCUACGGGAGACAGCAGAGGGGAAUAUUGGAAAAUGGGCGCAAGCCUGAUCCAGCCAUGCCGCGUGAGUGAUGAAGGCCCUAGGGUUGUAAAGCUCUUUCACCGGUGAAGAUAAUGACGGUAACCGGAGAAGAAGCCCCGGCUAACUUCGUGCCAGCCGCCGCCGUAACAC
rnacentral:rRNA from 1 species